GCGGAUGACAGGAGCUUGCUCCUGAAUUCAGCGGCGGACGGGUGAGUAAUGCCUAGGAAUCUGCCUGGUAGUGGGGGACAACGUUUCGAAAGGAACGCUAAUACCGCAUACGUCCUACGGGAGAAAGCAGGGGACCUUCGGGCCUUGCGCUAUCAGAUGAGCCUAGGUCGGAUUAGCUAGUUGGUGAGGUAAUGGCUCACCAAGGCGACGAUCCGUAACUGGUCUGAGAGGAUGAUCAGUCACACUGGAACUGAGACACGGUCCAGACUCCUACGGGAGGCAGCAGUGGGGAAUAUUGGACAAUGGGCGAAAGCCUGAUCCAGCCAUGCCGCGUGUGUGAAGAAGGUCUUCGGAUUGUAAAGCACUUUAAGUUGGGAGGAAGGGUUGUAGAUUAAUACUCUGCAAUUUUGACGUUACCGACAGAAUAAGCACCGGCUAACUCUGUGCCAGCAGCCGCGGUAAUACAGAGGGUGCAAGCGUUAAUCGGAAUUACUGGGCGUAAAGCGCGCGUAGGUGGUUCGUUAAGUUGGAUGUGAAAUCCCCGGGCUCACCUGGGAACUGCAUUCAAAACUGUCGAGCUAGAGUAUGGUAGAGGGUGGUGGAAUUUCCUGUGUAGCGGUGAAAUGCGUAGAUAUAGGAAGGAACACCAGUGGCGAAGGCGACCACCUGGACUGAUACUGACACUGAGGUGCGAAAGCGUGGGGAGCAAACAGGAUUAGAUACCCUGGUAGUCCACGCCGUAAACGAUGUCAACUAGCCGUUGGGAGCCUUGAGCUCUUAGUGGCGCAGCUAACGCAUUAAGUUGACCGCCUGGGGAGUACGGCCGCAAGGUUAAAACUCAAAUGAAUUGACGGGGGCCCGCACAAGCGGUGGAGCAUGUGGUUUAAUUCGAUGCAACGCGAAGAACCUUACCUGGCCUUGACAUCCACGGAAUUCGGCAGAGAUGCCUUAGUGCCUUCGGGAACCGUGAGACAGGUGCUGCAUGGCUGUCGUCAGCUCGUGUUGUGAAAUGUU
rnacentral:rRNA from 1 species